rnacentral:rRNA from 1 species
CCUACGGGCGGCAGCAGUAGGGAAUAUUGCUCAAUGGGGGAAACCCUGAAGCAGCAACGCCGCGUGGAGGAUGAAGGUUUUCGGAUUGGAAACUCCUUUUGUUAGAGAAGAGAAUGACGGUAUCUAACGAAUAAGCACCGGCUAACGCCGUGCCAGCAGCCGCGGGAAUACGGAGGGUGCAAGCGUUACUCGGAACCACUGGGCGUAAAGAGCGCGUAGGCGGGAUAGCAAGUCCGAUGUGAAAUCCUAUGGCUUAACCAUAGAACUGCAUUUGAAACUGUUAUUCUAGAGUAUGGGAGAGGUAGGUGGAAUUCUUGGUGUAGGGGUCAAAUCCGUAGAGAUCAAGAGGAAUACUCAUUGCGAAGGCGACCUGCUAGAGCAUAACUGACGCUGAUGCGCGAAAGCGUGGGGAGCAAACAGGAUUAGAUACCCGGGUAGUC